GGAGGGACAGGUCGCCCACCCACCACAUUCCGGGACUCAAUAGCAGUCUCCUCCCAAUUCGCACUCCGCACUCCGGCACAGUUGGCAACUGUAGGUAAAUUCUGGGAGACAGGAGUUAAUGUGCUCAUCACAGUUGUAGAGGAUUCAAACGCCAGAGGAAGCAGAAAUCCUGCGGCUGAGGCUGAGAACGCAAGGUAUCUGAGACUAGAUUCCUGACUUGGUGGUUUGCUUUUGUUGAAAAGAGACAAUGUCCUUGGAAUCUUGUUGACCAAGCAAAAUAAGUAUCUUGGACCACUUUCUACUGUAGAAGAAGGCAUUGUCACCAAGCCUUCAGGGAAAAUAGAAUGACCCCCACAGAGCACUCCCAGCAUACCUGGGGAAGGAAUACGCAGCAGUUUAUGGUGGUUGUGCAAACGAAGAUCCCUCCAGAUGUGAAUCCAAAGACUAGAUUGGACCAGGAGUGCAAGUAUCUGGUGAGCACGAAAAUUAGCCCAGCGCUGAGUAGCAGGAGGGUGACUCCGACCAUGAUGGUCAAGGACUGGUUCACCGGAGGAGAGCUGACAUGGUUGGUCAGGCCAGCCAGGACAACUGCUGAUGAGACAAUAACAGUCACAGAAGCCAGCUCAAUCAGGAAUUAGAUUGCCUAGGGAGAGGCCCUCACCUUCAUGCUGACACCAAGGAUCUGAAGACACUGGAUGGGAUCUGUUAGCACCCACGUCACAAGCAGGAUUACAUCAGCCACCACCAGGGCUGCCACCAAACCCAGCAACUGCAGGUCUUUGAUAAUCUGCAAAAGAGUCAAGGUCAAGAUGUCUCCUCUCUUGCUGGCUGUAUUUAACACGGGUGCUAGAGUGUGCCCUGUGCUCUGAGCUAUGGGCUAUAGUGACAGCGCUCUGUUGGAGAGUCAAACGCAGCCAUCAACAACAACACCGAUGAGGACUGCAAGACUGAAUGCCUUCCCUGAGAGUCUAUUCAGUUAUUGUUAUUGUUACCAUUAAACCUUUCCAUUUGUUUAACUUUUGUUUUGUUUUAGUUUUUGAAGAUAGGGUUUCUCUGUGUGGCCUGGAUGUCCUGGAACUCACUCUGUAGACCAUUCUGGCCUCAGACUCACAGAAAUCUGCCUGCCUCUGCCUCCCAAGUGCUGGGAUUAAAAGCGUGUGCCACCACCACCCAGCUUGUUUAAUGUUUUGAUGUCCUAACUUUUCUGGCAAAGGUUUCCAGUGGUCUUGUAAAGGAAGUUCACUUUUAUCUCUAUGAGCACAUGAGAAAUGUGGAGAGCUACUACCAGACUUUGCCAUAACUCAGAGAUGGGACUGAAAGAUGGAGGCAUUAUUAGUAUUUUCUCUAUAGAUUCACUAGUAUGAAGAGACUGCUCUUUUUAUGACAAUAAAUCUUAAAUUGAUUAUGACAAUUUAAUAAAAGAUAUAUAAGACUGUUUUGA